rnacentral:other from 1 species
UCACCCCUGCUGUGUUCGUGAUGCGACACAUGUUUUGAGCCAACAUGUGUAAAGAGGGGACCGUUCUCCUAUCGGGGCAGUAGUAGCCCUCGGGCGAGGCCUAACCGAUAGGGCCAGGUCACCCACCUGCGCAAGCAGGUUCAAAACACGCGCACACGGCAUAGCGGGGGUUAA